AGCACUUCCGUUAGAAUGACCCGGCCUGAAGUAGCGGCGGAACGGAAGUCGCUUGUGUAUGAGCGCAGCGGCGGACCUGUGAGGGAACCCGACUUGCUGGCAGAACUUACGCUGCGGCACCCCGGGCACUGUUGCUGCUGCGACCGUGGGCUGUUUAGUGCCAUGCACCCUUUACAGUGUGUCCUCCAAGUGCCGAGGUCUCUGGGGUGGGGACCAUUGGCCUCCGUGUCUUGGCUGUCACUGAGGAUGUGCAGGGUACACAGCAGUCUCUCUAGUACCAUGUGUCCCAGUCCAGAGAGGCAGGAGGAUGGAGCUCAGAAGGAUUUCAGCUCCAGGCUGGCCACUGGACCGACUUUUCAACAUUUUUUAAAAAGUGCCUCAGCUCCUCAGGAGAAGCUGUCUACAGAAGUGGAAGACCCACCUCCCUAUCUCACGAUGGAUGAACUUCUUGGAAGGCAGAGAAAAGUCUACCUCGAGACCUAUGGCUGCCAGAUGAAUGUGAAUGACACAGAGAUAGCCUGGUCCAUCUUACAGAAGAGUGGCUACCUGCGGACCAGUAACCUCCAAGAGGCAGAUGUGAUUCUCCUUGUCACGUGCUCUAUCAGGGAGAAGGCUGAGCAGACCAUCUGGAACCGUUUACAUCAGCUUAAAGCCUUGAAGACAAGGCGGCCCCGCUCCCGGGUUCCUCUGAGGAUUGGAAUUCUAGGCUGCAUGGCUGAGAGGUUGAAGGAGGAGAUUCUCAACAGAGAGAAAAUGGUAGAUAUUUUGGCUGGUCCUGAUGCCUACCGGGACCUUCCCCGGCUGCUGGCUGUUGCUGAGUCGGGCCAGCAAGCUGCCAACGUGCUGCUCUCUCUGGACGAGACCUAUGCUGAUGUCAUGCCAGUCCAGACAAGCGCCAGUGCCACGUCUGCCUUUGUGUCGAUCAUGCGAGGCUGUGACAACAUGUGUAGCUACUGCAUUGUUCCUUUCACCCGGGGCAGGGAGAGGAGUCGGCCUAUUGCCUCCAUUCUAGAGGAAGUGAAGAAGCUUUCUGAGCAGGGGCUGAAAGAAGUCACACUUCUUGGUCAGAAUGUUAAUAGUUUUCGGGACAAUUCAGAGGUCCAGUUCAACAAUGCAGUGCCUACCAAUCUCAGCCGUGGCUUUACCACCAACUAUAAAACCAAGCAAGGAGGACUUCGUUUUGCUCAUCUUCUGGAUCAGGUCUCCAGAGUAGAUCCUGAAAUGAGGAUCCGUUUUACCUCUCCCCAUCCCAAGGAUUUUCCCGAUGAGGUUCUGCAGCUGAUUCAUGAGAGAGAGAACAUCUGUAAACAGAUCCACCUGCCAGCCCAGAGUGGAAGCAGCCGUGUGUUGGAGGCCAUGCGGAGGGGAUAUUCAAGAGAAGCUUAUGUGGAGUUAGUUCACCAUGUUAGAGAAUCUAUUCCAGGUGUGAGCCUCAGCAGCGACUUCAUUGCUGGCUUUUGUGGUGAGACGGAGGAAGAUCACAUUCAGACAGUCUCUUUGCUCCGGGAAGUUCAGUACAACAUGGGCUUCCUCUUUGCCUACAGCAUGAGACAGAAGACACGGGCAUAUCAUAGGCUGAAGGACGAUGUUCCGAAAGAGGUAAAAUUAAGACGUUUGGAGGAACUUAUCACUGUCUUCCGAGAAGAAGCAACAAAAGCCAAUCAGACCUCUGUGGGCUGUACCCAGUUGGUGCUAGUGGAAGGGCUCAGUAAACGCUCUGCCACUGACCUGUGUGGCAGGAAUGAUGGAAACCUUAAGGUGAUCUUCCCUGAUGCAGAGAUGGAGGAUGUCAAUAACCCUGGGCUCAGGGUCAGAGCCCAGCCUGGGGACUACGUGCUGGUGAAGGUGAGGAGUCCUUUUGGGCUUUUGGCUUGCACUGUGAAAUGAGUGUUGGUUUGGAUAUUUGUGGUAAUAAAGUUUUUUCCUAGAGACACAUUUUAGUAAAAUAAAAAUCUCCUCUCAACCAGUACAAUGGAAUGGCACUUUGGAUUGGAUUUUAGACUGCUCCUUACUAAUGCCUUCUUAUUCUUCUUACCUAUUCUUCUGCCCUGGAAGGUUCUUUGUGGGAAUUCGGUGAGUUUGGAGCAUGCAGUGGCAUGUAGUUUCUUGCUGCAGAGAGGCCAGGAGGUGUAAGUGAUUUCGAAUCACCUCGGCCAGCUCUCAGACACUUAGGGGACAUGUUCUCUGCAGGACCACUCUGAGGGACUCCUCUGCAUAUUGCUGACCUGAGAAGAUGGCCUCAGAGCUGACUUGGGCAGUCCUCCCCAACAGGAAGGGGAGACAUUGCUGGCCACUGAGGAAAGAGGUCAUGAAGGUGGAGAUAAGCUGCAAGGGGCGAAGCAACUUUAUGUCAGUGGAAAACGUGUCUCUUUAAAGCUGCUAUGUGAACAGCUUUUACAGUCAUUAAAUUUACCUAAACUAAAGUUAA